UGAGGAAUAUUGGUCAAUGGGCGAGAGCCUGAACCAGCCAAGUAGCGUGCAGGAAGACGGCCCUAUGGGUUGUAAACUGCUUUUAUGCGGGGAUAAAGUGAGGGACGUGUCCUUCAUUGCAGGUACCGCAUGAAUAAGGACCGGCUAAUUCCGUGCCAGCAGCCGCGGUAAUACGGAAGGUCCGGGCGUUAUCCGGAUUUAUUGGGUUUAAAGGGAGCGUAGGCCGUGGAUUAAAGCGUGUUGUGAAAUGCAGGUGCUCAACGUCUGCACUGCAGCGCGAACUGGUCCACUUGAGUGUGCGCAACGCGGGCGGAAUUCGUCGUGUAGCGGUGAAAUGCUUAGAUAUGACGAAGAACUCCGAUUGCGAAGGCAGCUUGCGGGAGCACAACUGACGCUGAAGCUCGAAAGUGCGGGUAUCGAACAGGAUUAGAUACCCUGGUAGUCCGCACGGUAAACGAUGGAUGCCCGUUGUCAGGCUGUUUCAGUCUGGUCGACCAA
rnacentral:rRNA from 1 species